rnacentral:rRNA from 1 species
CGGCACGGGUGAGUAACACGUAUCCAACCUGCCGUCUACUCUUGGCCAGCCUUCUGAAAGGAAGAUUAAUCCAGGAUGGCAUCAUGAGUUCACAUGUCCGCAUGAUUAAAGGUAUUUUCCGGUAGACGAUGGGGAUGCGUUCCAUUAGAUAGUAGGCGGGGUAACGGCCCACCUAGUCAACGAUGGAUAGGGGUUCUGAGAGGGAGGUCCCCCACAUUGGAACUGAGACACGGUCCAA